rnacentral:rRNA from 1 species
UGCCAGCCGCCGCGGUAAUACAGAGGGUGCAAGCGUUAAUCGGAAUUACUGGGCGUAAAGCGCGCGUAGGUGGAUAUUUAAGUCGGAUGUGAAAGCCCCGGGCUCAACCUGGGAACUGCAUUCGAUACUGGGUAUCUAGAGUAUAGUAGAGGGAAGUGGAAUUUCCGGUGUAGCGGUGAAAUGCGUAGAUAUCGGAAGGAACACCAGUGGCGAAGGCGGCUUCCUGGACUAAUACUGACACUGAGGUGCGAAAGCGUGGGUAGCAAACAGGAUUAGAUA